UGGCGAACGGGUGAGUAACACGUGGGUAACCUGCCCAUCAGAAGGGGAUAACACUUGGAAACAGGUGCUAAUACCGUAUAACACUAUUUUCCGCAUGGAAGAAAGUUGAAAGGCGCUUUUGCGUCACUGAUGGAUGGACCCGCGGUGCAUUAGCUAGUUGGUGAGGUAACGGCUCACCAAGGCAACGAUGCAUAGCCGACCUGAGAGGGUGAUCGGCCACACUGGGACUGAGACACGGCCCAGACUCCUACGGGAGGCAGCAGUAGGGAAUCUUCGGCAAUGGACGAAAGUCUGACCGAGCAACGCCGCGUGAGUGAAGAAGGUUUUCGGAUCGUAAAACUCUGUUGUUAGAGAAGAACAAGGAUGAGAGUAAAA
rnacentral:rRNA from 1 species